GGGGGCACCUGAUCCGCAAUGCCGCGUGAGUGAAGAAGGCCUUCGGGUUGUAAAGCUCUUUUGUCAGGGAAGAAACGGUAGUAGCUAAUAUCUAUUACUAAUGACGGUACCUGAAGAAUAAGCACCGGCUAACUACGUGCCAGCAGCCGCGGUAAUACGUAGGGUGCAAGCGUUAAUCGGAAUUACUGGGCGUAAAGCGUGCGCAGGCGGUUGUGUAAGUCAGAUGUGAAAUCCCCGGGCUCAACCUGGGAAUUGCAUUUGAGACUGCACGGCUAGAGUGUGUCAGAGGGGGGUAGAAUUCCACGUGUAGCAGUGAAAUGCGUAGAUAUGUGGAGGAAUACCGAUGGCGAAGGCAGCCCCCUGGGAUAACACUGACGCUCAUGCACGAAAGCGUGGGGAGCAAACAGGAUUAGAUACCCUGGUAGUCCACGCCCUAAACGAUGUCUACUAGUUGUCGGGUCUUAAUUGACUUGGUAACGCAGCUAACGCGUGAAGUAGACCGCCUGGGGAGUACGGUCGCAAGAUUAAAACUCAAAGGAAUGGACGGA
rnacentral:rRNA from 1 species